ACAGCAGCCGCCGCGGUAAAACGUAGGUGGCAAGCGUUGUCCGGAAUUAUUGGGCGUAAAGCGCGCGCAGGCGGAUCAGUUAGUCUGUCUUAAAAGUUCGGGGCUUAACCCCGUGAUGGGAUGGAAACUGCUGAUCUAGAGUAUCGGAGAGGAAAGUGGAAUUCCUAGUGUAGCGGUGAAAUGCGUAGAUAUUAGGAAGAACGCCAGUGGCGAAGGCGACUUUCUGGACGAAAACUGACGCUGAGGCGCGAAAGCCAGGGGAGCGAACGGGAUUAGAUACCCCCGUAGUCCCUGUCUCUUAUACC
rnacentral:rRNA from 1 species